CACGGGGGGAGCAAGCGUUGUUCGGAAUCACUGGGCGUAAAGGGCGUGCAGGCGGUCAGGUAAGUGGGAUGUGAAAUGCCCCGGCUCACCCGGGGACCGGCAUCUCAUACUGCUUGGCUUGAGUACGGGAGAGGAUGUGGGAAUUCCUGGUGUAGCGGUGAAAUGCGCAGAUAUCAGGAGGAACACCGGUGGCGAAGGCGGGUCUCUGGGCAAUAACUGACGCUGAGGAGCGAAAGCGUGGGGAGCGAACAGG
rnacentral:rRNA from 1 species